rnacentral:rRNA from 1 species
CCUACGGGAGGCAGCAGCUAAGAAUAUUCCGCAAUGGGCGAAAGCCUGACGGAGCGACGCCGCGUGGAGGAUGAAGGCCUUCGGGUUGUAAACUCCUUUUCCUGGGGAAGAAUAAAGCCGGUAGUAACUGACCGGUUGAUGACGGUACCCAGGGAAUAAGCCCCGGCUAAUUACGUGCCAGCAGCCGCGGUAAUACGUAUGGGGCGAGCGUUGUUCGAAUUUACUGGGCGUAAAGGGCUUGUAGGUGGUGGGAUAAGUCGGAUGUGAAAUCCCCGGGCUUAACCCGGGAACUGCAUUCGAAACUAUCUCGCUAGAGUACCGGAGAGGGAAACGGAAUUCCUGGUGUAGGGGUGAAAUCUGUAGAUAUCAGGAAGAACACCGGUGGCGAAGGCGGUUUCCUGGCCGGAUACUGACACUGAGGAGCGAAAGCUAGGGGAGCAAACAGGAUUAGAUACCCUGGUAGUCCUAGCCGUAAACGUUGUGCACUAGGUGUAAGUGGUUUCCCCACUUGUGCCGCAGCUAACGCAUUAAGUGCACCGCCUGGGGAGUAUGCUCGCAAGGGUGAAACUCAAAGGAAUUGACGG